UACGUAGGUGACAAGCGUUGUCCGGAUUUACUGGGCGUAAAGAGCGCGCAGGCGGUGCUCCAAGUCUGGUGUGAAAUCUCCCGGCUUAACCGGGAGGGUGCGCCGGAAACUGGGGUGCUGGAGUGUGGGAGAGGUAAGCGGAAUUCCUGGUGUAGCGGUGGAAUGCGCAGAUAUCAGGAGGAACACCGAUGGCGAAGGCAGGUCUCUGGGCCGCAACUGACGCUGAGGAGCGAAAGCAUGGGGAGCGAACAGG
rnacentral:rRNA from 1 species